rnacentral:rRNA from 1 species
GAUGAACGCUGGCGGCGUGCCUAAUACAUGCAAGUCGAGCGAACGGACGAGAAGCUUGCUUCUCUGAUGUUAGCGGCGGACGGGUGAGUAACACGUGGAUAACCUACCUAUAAGACUGGGAUAACCUCGGGAAACCGGAGCUAAUACCGGAUGAUAUUUUGAACCGCAUGGUUCAAAAGUGAAAGACGGUCUUGCUGUCACUUAUAGAUGGAUCCGCGCUGCAUUAGCUAGUUGGUAAGGUAACGGCUUACCAAGGCAACGAUGCAUAGCCGACCUGAGAGGGUGAUCGGCCACACUGGAACUGAGACACGGUCCAGACUCCUACGGGAGGCAGCAGUAGGGAAUCUACCGCAAUGGGCGAAAGCCUGACGGAGCAACGCCGCGUGAGUGAUGAAGGUCUUCGGAUCGUAAAACUCUGUUAUUAGGGAAGAACAUAUGUGUAAGUAACUGUGCACAUCUUGACGGUACCUAAUCAGAAAGCCACGGCUAACUACGUG